rnacentral:rRNA from 1 species
UUUUUGCCUUCGGGGUACAAUUGAGACAGGUGGUGCAUGGUUGUCGUCAGCUCGUGUCGUGAGAUGUUGGGUUAAGUCCCGCAACGAGCGCAACCCUUGUGUUUAGUUGCAAACAGGUCAAGCUGUGCACUCUAGACAGACUGCCGUGGACAACACGGAGGAAGGUGGGGAUGACGUCAAAUCAUCAUGCCCCUUAUGAUCUGGGCUACACACGUGCUACAAUGGCCGGUACAACGGGCAGCGGAAGGAGCGAUCCGGAGCGAAUCCUAAAAAGCCGGUCCCAGUUCGGAUUGCAGGCUGAAACUCGCCUACAUGAAGUUGGAGUUGCUAGUAAUCGCGAAUCAGAAUGUCGCGGUGAAUGCGUUCCCGGGUCUU